CCUACGGGCGGCUGCAGUGGGGAAUAUUGGACAAUGGGCGAAAGCCUGAUCCAGCCAUGCCGCGUGUGUGAAGAAGGCCUUCGGGUUGUAAAGCACUUUCAGUGGGGAAGAAAGCCUUGGGGCUAAUACCCUCGAGGAAGGACAUCACCCACAGAAGAAGCACCGGCUAACUCCGUGCCAGCAGCCGCGGUAAUACGGAGGGUGCGAGCGUUAAUCGGAAUUACUGGGCGUAAAGCGCGCGUAGGCGGUCUGAUAAGCCGGUUGUGAAAGCCCCGGGCUCAACCUGGGAACGGCAUCCAGAACUGUCAGGCUAGAGUGCAGGAGAGGAAGGUAGAAUUCCCGGUGUAGCGGUGAAAUGCGUAGAGAUCGGGAGGAAUACCAGUGGCGAAGGCGGCCUUCUGGACUGACACUGACGCUGAGGUGCGAAAGCGUGGGUAGCAAACAGGAUUAGAUACCCUUGUAGUC
rnacentral:rRNA from 1 species